CUUGGCCACAACUGCUCUCCUUCUGAUACUUCACCUCUGCGCUCCUCUCGUACUCUCUUCCUCCCCGCACAGCUCUUUUCAGGGCCAGGAGGGGUGGGUGCACUUCUUGGAAUCACAAGCUUGCUUGCACCCGGGCUCGGCGACCCACUCUGCCGCCGCGUACUGCUCUCGGCGGGCCGGCCUCUGGCAGCCGCGCCGGCUCCGCCCCGGCUGGCCGCCCUGAGCGCGGAUCUCCCAGCGCCGCGCACAAAGACGGCCUCCCUGGCCUCGAGCCCGCAGGCUUCCGUAGCUCGGGUCCUUCCCCACCCCCACGAAGUCCUGGGGCUCAUUCUACCUUGCAGCAGACCCUCCGUCCUCCCGGCAAGUAGGCCAGCGCCCGACCACUCGAGCUCAAGUACCUUAAAGCCCGGGGAGAGUGUGUGCAAGGGGAGUUUGGUCCCUAUUUAAAUGAUCGUCUGCGAGCAGCUUGCACGGCUCCGAGCACCUCUUUCAGGGCUCUUCCACUAGGAAGGGAAGGAGCGAGCAGCAGACAAAACGCCGCCGAGGCCGCGAGCUGUUCCUGGCAUCCGCGGCUCAGCCAAGCUGUUGUUUUAAAAGAGCAAUAAAAAUGAAUUAUGACUAAACGCCUUCUAACUUAAUGCUUUCGGACGGGGAUCCCCGGCAAAUACGUUUAUUUGCCUGGACCCAUCAGCAGCUGGGAGACUAAUGAACAACACUGAAAAUGUUCGGGAUUUGUGGGGGAGGAGUUGGAAUGUAGAUGUUUGAAACAAAUGUGUAUAAAUAAAUGAAUUUGUUUAUAACUUA